GAUGAACGCUGGCGGCGUGCCUAAUACAUGCAAGUCGAGCGAACAGACGAGGAGCUUGCUCCUCUGACGUUAGCGGCGGACGGGUGAGUAACACGUGGAUAACCUACCUAUAAGACUGGGAUAACUUCGGGAAACCGGAGCUAAUACCGGAUAAUAUAUUGAACCGCAUGGUUCAAUAGUGAAAGACGGUUUUGCUGUCACUUAUAGAUGGAUCCGCGCCGCAUUAGCUAGUUGGUAAGGUAACGGCUUACCAAGGCAACGAUGCGUAGCCGACCUGAGAGGAUGAUCGGCCACACUGGAACUGAGACACGGUCCAGACUCCUACGGGAGGCAGCAGUAGGGAAUCUUCCGCAAAGGGCGAAAGCCUGACGGAGCAACGCCGCGUGAGUGAUGAAGGUCUUCGGAUCGUAAAACUCUGUUAUUAGGGAAGAACAAAUGUGUAAGUAACCAUGCACGUCUUGACGGUACCUAAUCAGAAAGCCACGGCUAACUACGUG
rnacentral:rRNA from 1 species